UCUGGUUCGGUUGGUAGAGCGUGAGACUCGUAGUCUCAGGAUCAUGGAUUCAAGCCCCAAGUUGGGGCAAAA